rnacentral:rRNA from 1 species
CCUACGGGAGGCAGCAGUGGGGAAUCUUCCGCAAUGGGCGCAAGCCUGACGGAGCAACGCCGCGUGAGUGAAGAAGGUCUUCGGAUCGUAAAGCUCUGUUGAUGGGGACGAACGUACGGAGUGCGAAUAGUGCUCUGUAAUGACGGUACCUAUCGAGGAAGCCACGGCUAACUACGUGCCAGCAGCCGCGGUAAUACGUAGGUGGCGAGCGUUGUCCGGAAUCAUUGGGCGUAAAGGGAGCGCAGGCGGGCAUGUAAGUCUUUCUUAAAAGUUCGGGGCUCAACCCCGUGAUGGGAAAGAAACUACAUGUCUUGAGUACAGGAGAGGAAAGCGGAAUUCCCAGUGUAGCGGUGAAAUGCGUAGAUAUUGGGAGGAACACCAGUGGCGAAGGCGGCUUUCUGGACUGCAACUGACGCUGAGGCUCGAAAGCCAGGGGAGCGAACGGGAUUAGAUACCCCUGUAGUC